UUUUAUAUAUAAUCUUUCUGAUUUUUUUUUUCCCUCUUUCCUUCAUAUCCAACAUACAGGGAAUUACAGGAGGUUUUUGCUUUUCUCAUUUAUAUUUUGGGCAUUAUUCAACGUUGGGAUAUUGGGGUUUUUCCCAUUCUUUUUGAUGACCAUGUGAGGUUCCACUGUUCACUGUCUGAAUAUGCCAUUAUUUCUUUUCCUUUUUUUUUUUUUUUAAAGAUUUUAUUUACUUAUUUGACAGAGAGACAGCGAGAGAAGGAACACAAGCAGGGGGAGUGAGAGAGGGAGAAGCAGGCUCUCUGCUGAGCAGGGAGCCCUAUGAGUGUCUUGAUCCCAGGACCCUGGGGAUCAUGACCUGAGCCUAAGGAAGACACUUAACGACCGAGCCACCCAGGUGCUCCUAUGCCAUCAUUUCUUAUUUAAAUCCCCUAUUAAAUCCAUAGCGUGUCCACAGAGAUGGACCUCCUUGCAUAUAUGUCAUGUAAUCGUUGUGUCAAAGGGUAUAUGUAUUUCAAAUUUUUAUAGACAUUGCGAAAAUGUAUGUGCAGAGAGUGUUUGCAGGGAAAGAACUCUAAUCCAGCCUCUUCUUCCUCCAUCCCCAGAUUUCAAGUCCUCAGCAAGAUGAGAAGUGUGUGUGGGGGCAACAGACAUUAUAUAGUGCCCUUGCUUUGGGGGAGGUAAGAAAAUCUCCAGCCACUUGGCAGAAGAUUUGCGAGCAUGGGAAGGAGCUUGGGCUGACUUUCCUGGUCUGGGAAUUGAACUGCUUGGGGGCUGCCUGGCUGACGGUGGACGUGGGCAGAUGGUGAGGACUCCCUAAGCACCCAGCUUCUCACAGACGUCAGGCAGAGUGGGCGAAACAUCUCCGGAAAUAAAUCCCAGCAACUCAGGGAGGGAGCCAGGCUGAGACACGGAAUGCAUGUUCCAAAAGGAACAUGGAGAGGACCUCUUCAGUCUGAGGAAGGGCAACUGAGACUCUGGACUUUCCCCAGGGUGCCCCCCACUCUUCUAGCGAGGUCCCCCUCCCCCUCCAGCUGUUCUGGAGCAUGGACUCCUGGAACAGGAGAUGGGGAGCAAGUCCUGAAGUCUUAGAUACCUCGGCCACUCUGGGCUGUGUGCGGUAACAUGCCUCUCUGUUCAUUCAGGCCCCUGUGCUAAUCUUGGGUCCCUGCCCCUGCAGAAUGGGGUGGGGAAGGCAGGAGGGCUUAUCUCUCCAACCUCCUACCCCCUCCUUAUGAAAUCUGGUGAGUAGUUUGGUGGAGUUGUGCUAGGAUGACAGCUGGGUUUUAAAGAUUGCUGAGAGUGAGGUUUUAUGCUUUCAACUGUGUUUGUUUUUGCAAGAUUAUCCAUUGCCUUCCAUUCCAGAUGCUGACUCUUAUCCUUAGGGAGUGAGAAGGCAGAACUGCUUACUCACUUUCUGGAACUCUCCCAGGCUAACAGGGGAGGGACAGAGCCACCGGUCUGACCAGGCAGCACCUCAGAAACAACCUCACAAUCAGCCUCAGUUUACCCAUCUGUAAAGUGAGGGGGGUCUUUUAACAUCUCUUUCAUGAGGAGCCCCGAUACCUGGAAUCCACACAAAAAUCCGGAGGCGUCCCUAUCCGGUGGUUUCUGAUCUUUCACCGGAUGGCUGUGACAGUAGCAGGAGAGUUGACUGUGACGGAGUUUGCAUCACUCUCUUGCCCUCCCCUGCUGCCUUCCUCUGCCCAACCCUACCAGCUCCCUCAGCCUCCCCUCCCCAUGCAAAGGUCCUGGAACAGGGUAGAUGAUGGGAAGAUGCCAGCCAGCCAGGGGUCUGGAUAAUCCACAAACUGGAUUAUCUGCCCCUGGGUUUGCAUGUACAUAAGCAGGUGGCCUAGAUGCAGACAGGAUGUACUGGGAUGAGCCAAGGGGAUAAGGUUAACACCUUGUGUGUGACUCUUGUGUGUGUGUGUGUGUGUGUGUGCGUGUGUGUGUGUGUGUGUAAGUGGGGGAGGGGGCAGUUAUACAAUAAAAACCCCACCCACUUAUCUCCCAUUCUGAGCAUUAAGCCAAUCAAUCCCUCCUUUCAAUCAAGCA